UUUUCUAUGCUCUACAUGUGAGUAUGUUUGUGUGUGAGGUGUGAGGUGUGAGGUGUGAGGUGUGAGGUGUGAG
rnacentral:ribozyme from 1 species